AUACAAAUAACUGUAUAUAGCGGCGAGUAAGUUCAGUGAGUAUAAGGAUAUAU
rnacentral:guide_RNA from 1 species